rnacentral:lncRNA from 1 species
AUGGAUUUUGAUAGAGAAUUUAAUGACCAAUUAAGAGCACUUAUUUAUUAUUUUUUUUUGUUAAGUGUACCGGCUAUUGUAUCUACAGUCUAGGUUACAUAUUUGCUGGAAGAUCUUUAUUGCAAUUUAAUAUUAUAUAAAUUACAGUUUAUAUCAUUGAUUUCACGUACAAAUGCAGAAUUAAAAAUCACAAGAUGUCAAGGAAAAAAGUUCUAAAACAGUGUUCGAGCCAGGAAGCUUUGGUUUUGAUGCAUCAACUCAAAGAUUAUUCUAAGCAAGAAUGUAGUCAAAAUAACAAUUUCCAAAUUGAUCUGCGAAGAAGAUAGCACGUGGUUUGAUAGCACUGCAUAGCAGAUUGGAUUCUAAUAGCAUAACGGGUUAUUACUUGGAUAAAUGGAGACAAUCCGGAGAGAAGAUAGUCAUUUUGGAGGGAAUUAAUAAUAAGCAUUUAAAAUAUCUUUACAACAAAACCAAAUAUUUUGCUCUCGACUUGCAUAAGCUCUACGAACGAUGGUCAAAUGGAAAAGAAAUUGUAGUCUUAACAGUAUUUGGAAUGCAGGAAGAUAUACAAGAAUUUUUUGAAGCACUAAUACCUUACGGUACAAUAAAAAUCACCUAUUAGAAAUACAUAUGUAUGUAUGCGUUUGUACAAAUAUUUUUCAUGUGUACUUUACGAUGAAAUGCACACAUUAUAUUUUUUAUUUAUUGCACUUAUUAGAAAUCUAUUGUAAUAAUUCAAAGAACAUUUUUAUCAGUUAAUAGAACAAAAUACUAAUAGUG